rnacentral:rRNA from 1 species
GACGAACGCUGGCGGCGUGCUUAACACAUGCAAGUCGAACGGUAAGGCCCUUUCGGGGGUACACGAGUGGCGAACGGGUGAGUAACACGUGGGUGAUCUGCCCUGCACUUUGGGAUAAGCCUGGGAAACUGGGUCUAAUACCGGAUAGGACUACGCGAUGCAUGUCGUGUGGUGGAAAGCUUUUGCGGUGUGGGAUGGGCCCGCGGCCUAUCAGCUUGUUGGUGGGGUGAUGGCCUACCAAGGCGACGACGGGUAGCCGGCCUGAGAGGGUGUCCGGCCACACUGGGACUGAGAGACGGACCAGACUCCUACGGGAGGCAGCAGUGGGGAAUAUUGCACAAUGGGCGCAAGCCUGAUGCAGCGACGCCGCGUGGGGGAUGACGGCCUUCGGGUUGUAAACCCCUUUCAGCACAGACGAAGCGUAAGUGACGGUAUGUGCAGAAGAAGCACCGGCCAACUACGUG